rnacentral:lncRNA from 1 species
CUGCUUGCAUUCCCGAUUUCGCCACCGUCGAGAGUACCCGUAUAAAGCAGACCGAUGUCUACCUGCUCUCUUUCGUGUCCAUGCUGUAAGGAGACGGAGUGUGGCUCGCGCUGCUCUGCCAAAACCCGCAGGUUCCUAAGGUCUCCGACCCCGUCGUGCACGACAUGCGCGGCUACGAGAAGCUCCCGCGAGAGAGCGGCGGAGCCCUCAGUCAUGGAUCCGGAUACAAGAGGUAUGCACACUCAGGCUGCUAACCGGCAG